rnacentral:rRNA from 1 species
AUACGGAGGGUGCAAGCGUUACUCGGAAUCACUAGGCGUAAAGCGCGCGCAGGCGGUCUUUUAAGUUGGAUGUGAAAGCCUACGGCUCAACCGUAGAACUGCAUCCAAAACUAUUUAGCUAGAGUGUGGGAGAGGAAGAUGGAAUUAGUUGUGUAGGGGUAAAAUCCGUAGAGAUAACUAGGAAUACCAAAAGCGAAGGCAAUCUUCUGGAACACUACUGACGCUGAGGCGCGAAAGCGUGGGGAGCAAACGGGAUUAGAAACCCCAGUAGUCC